rnacentral:rRNA from 1 species
AAUGAACGUUGGCGGCGUGGAUUAGGCAUGCAAGUCGAGCGAGAACCGUAGCAAUACGGGGACAGCGGCGAAAGGGAGAGUAAUACGUGGAUACCUACCCUCAGGUUCGGGAUAGCUGCGGGAAACUGCAGGUAAUACCGAAUAACAUCUCCGGAUCAAAGGUGUGAUUCCGCCGGAGGAGGGGUCCGCGUCCUAUUAGCUAGUUGGCGAGGUAACGGCUCACCAAGGCGAAGAUGGGUAUGGGGUGUGAGAGCAUGACCCCACUCACUGGGACUGAGACACUGCCCAGACACCUACGGGUGGCUGCAGUCGAGAAUCUUCGGCAAUGGGGGCAACCCUGACCGAGCGACGCCGCGUGCGAGAUGAAGGCCUUCGGGUUGUAAAUCGCUGUCAGAGGGGAGGAAAUUCCAGGGGGCAAUCCCCUUGGUUUGACCUAUCCUCAGAGGAAGGACGGGCUAAGUUCGUGCCAGCCGCCGCAGUAACAC